rnacentral:rRNA from 1 species
CCUACGGGAGGCAGCAGUGGGGAAUAUUGGACAAUGGGCGAAAGCCUGAUCCAGCCAUGCCGCGUGUGUGAAGAAGGUCUUCGGAUUGUAAAGCACUUUAAGUUGGGAGGAAGGGCAUUAACCUAAUACGUUAGUGUUUUGACGUUACCGACAGAAUAAGCACCGGCUAACUCUGUGCCAGCAGCCGCGGUAAUACAGAGGGUGCAAGCGUUAAUCGGAAUUACUGGGCGUAAAGCGCGCGUAGGUGGUUUGUUAAGUUGGAUGUGAAAUCCCCGGGCUCAACCUGGGAACUGCAUUCAAAACUGACUGACUAGAGUAUGGUAGAGGGUGGUGGAAUUUCCUGUGUAGCGGUGAAAUGCGUAGAUAUAGGAAGGAACACCAGUGGCGAAGGCGACCACCUGGACUAAUACUGACACUGAGGUGCAAAAGCGUGGGGAGCAAACAGGAUUAGAUACCCUGGUAGUCCACGCCGUAAACGAUGUCAACUAGCCGUUGGGAGCCUUGAGCUCUUAGUGGCGCNGCUACGCAUAGUUAGACCGCCGUCGGGAGGUACGGCCGCGAACGUAAACGUAACGAAGAAGUAGACGGCGUGAGACGUGCCGACGGACGACGACGAGGGAGGAGG